UAUAUAUAUAUAUAUAUAUAUGUAUAUAUAUAUGUAUAUACAUAUAUAUAUAUAUACAUAUAUAUAUAUAUAUACAUAUAUAUAUAUAUACAUAUAUAUAUAUAUACAUAUAUAUAUAUAUAUAUAUAGAAUUAGGCUGGAUUACUAUCAAUAGCAGCAAGUUAUUGGUGCUAUUAGUUUUUUAGCCCUUGGAUUGAGAAAUGUGCGAUUAGGAUGAUGUAGGCCCCCUAUUACGUAUUUAUGCAUCGUGGUUUUCUAUCCCUCGAGAUAGUCGGUUUUUAAAAAUGGAGUUUUCGAGUGGGAAACAGUAACAGUUUUAAAAGGUUUUCGAAUGGUUUUAUGAAUGAUUAAAUAGAAUUUAAAAACAAAGCUUACGGAUGGGGAGAACUUUUAAAUAGAAUGACUGUUGUAUUGUGCAUCGCAUCAUCCAAUGCC
rnacentral:lncRNA from 1 species